AUGAAAUUCGUGAGUAUAGAGAUGCAAGAUUUAUAUCACCUCCGGAGGCAAUAUGGAGGAUUUAUUCCUUCAAUCUCAGUGAGAUGCAUCCUUCUGUUUUACAAUUACAGGAUGAAUACAAUUGAUAAUUAUGCUAGAAAUUUUUUAUAUAAGAAAUUCCCCGAGUUCUAUGUAUGGGACAAAGCCCAUAAGAGAUGGAAACGUCGUGUGAAGAGAACUCAAGUAGGUAGGCUUGUGGCUGCUCACCCCGCAGAAGGAGAGCGUUAUUACUUGAGAGUGUUGCUAAAUCAUGUGAGGGGGCCUACGUCAUUUGAGGAUUUGCGUACUGUUGGAGGUAUUGUUUUCUCAACAUUCAUAGAGGCUGCAGAAAAGAGAGGCCUUAUUGAAGCAGAUGAAAGUAUUUCUGACUGUCUCACUGAAGCUGCAACAUUUCAGAUGCCAUCUGCACUUAGAAGACUCUUUGCAACCAUUUUGGUUUUCUGUGAGGUGACAAAUGUUCGUGCAUUAUGGGAAAAACACUUUGAGGCGAUGUGUGAUGAUUUUCAAAAGGAGGGCAUAACUAAUGAAUCAAUUGAACAAAUGGUCCUUAGAGAUAUUGGUGAUUUGUUAUAUUCUAUGGGGAAGGACAUCAGGAUAUUUGACCUUCCAGAAUUAGUGGAUACUGAUGAUUUGGAGAGCUUAAAUAGGAGAGAAUUAUCCGAGGAACUAUCUAUUACAGUUGCUAAAGAGGACUUAGAGUUGUACACAAGCCUAAAUAGUGAGCAACGACUUGCUUUUGAUGAGAUAAUGGACCAUGUAUUGCACAACAAGUGUAAAGUAUUCUUUAUCGAUGGUCCAGGAGGUACAGAAAAGACAUAUUUAUAUAAAGCUUUAUUGGCUAAAGUGCGCUCUAUGGGACUAAUAACCAUCGCAACAGCAACGUCUGGUAUUGCAGCUUCUAUUUUGCCCGGUGGUAGAACUGCUCAUUCCAGAUUUAAAGUACCAAUAAAUAUUCAAGAAGAUAUUGUUUGCAACUUUAGUAAGAAAAGUGGGACUGCAGAAUUACUUCGAAGAGCAUCUCUAAUAGUUUGGGAUGAAGUUGUUAUGACAAAACGACAAGCUGUCGAGGCACUUGAUAGAUCCCUCCAGGAUAUUACAGGUUGUACAUCACCAUUUGGAGGAAAAGUAGUAGUGUUUGGAGGAGAUUUCAGACAAGUCCUUCCUGUUGUUAGGCAUGGCACUAAAGCGCAGAUUAUAAAUGCUACACUCCAAAAGUCUUAUCUCUGGAAGGAUAUAAAACAAAUAAAACUCCGCCGCAAUAUGAGAGCACAGUCUGAUCCAUGGUUCUCAGAUUUUCUUAUGAGAAUUGGAAAUGGCACUGAAGAAUCGAUUGGUGAAGAUUAUGUGUGUCUACCAGAAGAAAUAGUUGUGAGAUAUACAGAUUCAAAAACCUCCAUCAACAACUUAAUCGAUGAUGUCUUUCCUUCACUUUACCAGAAUGGAGGAUUAACUUCUUAUAUUAGUUCCCGUGCUAUUCUUUCCACUAAAAAUGAGUAUGUCGAUGAAUUAAACGGGAUGCUUAUAAAGCGGUUUCCCGGGGAAGAAAAAGUCUACUAUAGCUUUGAUUCAGCAGUGGAUGACACACAAAAUCACUACCCACCUGAAUUCUUGAAUUCUCUCACACCUAAUGGCCUGCCUCCACAUGUACUCAGAUUGAAGAUCAAUUGUCCUGUGAUAUUGAUUCGCAAUUUGGAUCCAUCUAAUGGGCUAUGCAACGGCACGAGGCUUAUUAUUAAGGCAUUUCAAGAUAAUGCUAUUGAUGCAGAAAUUAUAGGAGGACACCAUGCUGGAAAGCGAGUAUUUCUUCCCCGAAUUCCUCUCUACCCCUCUGAAGAUGAUGUGCUUCCCUUUAAGUUUAAAAGAAAGCAAUUUCCUAUCCGCCUUAGCUUUGCAAUGACAAUCAAUAAAGCACAGGGUCAAACCAUUCCAAAUGUUGGCAUCUACCUUCCAGAACCUGUGUUCUCUCAUGGCCAACUGUAUGUUGCUUUGUCUAGAGGAGUAUCAAGGCAUACAACAAGAAUACUUGCCAAGCCAAGCAAGGACAUCGACCCAUCAGGGAAAAGUACAAAAAAUAUUGUCUAUAAGGAUGUUUUGUUAUGUUAA
rnacentral:rRNA from 1 species